rnacentral:rRNA from 1 species
CUAGAUGUAAAAUUCUGAGGAAGCUUGGGCCGAGGAUAUUUCAUUAAGUAAAAAUGCUGUUCGCGGUCGCACCCGAUUGAGGACUACAGGUGUCAGAAUGGAAGACCCGGACCAGAGAAUCGAGCCGUUACAAGACCGCGCUACCCACCUUAAGAGUAAUCAAAGUUUUUUUGAUCUGCGGCGAGUAUGGUCGCAAGUAUGAGAGCUGGAGGAAUCGCCGCAAGGGCACCCCCAGGAGUGGAGCAAGCGGAAUUAUUUGAGUGAACAAGAAUGAACUCAUUGGGUCCACAAGCAGUAAAAAUUCACAGAAUGAGAGUUGUUUAUCGAUUCCUACAUGGGUCAUGCAUGGCUAAUUUUAGUUGCUGGAGCGUUCCGUGGGCGUGAUAGCCAUAACUCAGGCUCCCUUUCCGGACUAGAUCCUCAACUUGGCCUCACCCGGGAAUGUUUGGGUAGUAUUCUUAGAGGGACUGGAGGCUCCAAGCCUCAGGAAUCCGAGGGCACUAACAGGUAUCGGGCCAUGAGAUGUUAUCGGUCAUUCGCGAUCUACACAAAUCACCUCGAAGGAUUCAAUGCAUUUAUUUGUCAUAAACCGAACCGUUCAAACGUUGGGGUUUUUUGUUAUUAUUAGGUGGAGAAUUCAUUCGGGUAUCCAUGUUGAAAGGGGAAAUCAAAGAAGUAGUAAUUCAUCAUGAUGAGCUGGAUGCUGUUUUGCCUGUAUAACACA